rnacentral:rRNA from 1 species
UGUGAAAUGUUGGGUUAAGUCCCGCAACGAGCGCAACCCUUAUCCUUUGUUGCCAGCGGUUAGGCCGGGAACUCAAAGGAGACUGCCAGUGAUAAACUGGAGGAAGGUGGGGAUGACGUCAAGUCAUCAUGGCCCUUACGACCAGGGCUACACACGUGCUACAAUGGCGCAUACAAAGAGAAGCGACCUCGCGAGAGCAAGCGGACCUCAUAAAGUGCGUCGUAGUCCGGAUUGGAGUCUGCAACUCGACUCCAUGAAGUCGGAAUCGCUAGUAAUCGUGGAUCAGAAUGCCACGGUGAAUACGUUCCCGGGCCUUGUACACACCGCCCGUCACACCAUGGGAGUGGGUUGCAAAAGAAGUAGGUAGCUUAACCUUCGGGAGGGCGCUUACCACUUUGUGAUUCAUGACUGGGGUGAAGUCGUAACAAGGUAACCGUAGGGGAACCUGC